AGUUCGCAUACAAACGCUAAACGUUCAAAUACUACAAAAAUUCAAAGCAAACGGGGAGCGCGCGCGUUUUUUAAUAUUAAAACCAAAAAAAAACCAAAAACAAAAACAAAAAAACAACAACAUAAUAUAUAUUUUUUUCUACACUUUACAUACAUAUAAAUAUAUAUAUACCAUAGAUAUAUAUACAUACUUAAAUAUAUAUACUAAGAAAGUAAAAAAAAUAAUAAUAACAACAACAGCAGCAACAACAACAACAAAAAGAAAAAAACAAAAGAGCAAAAAAACAAGCUAGCAGUUUAAAAAAAAUCUUUUUUCAAUUUUUUUUCUUCUUCCGAUGCGUUCUGCAACAAAAUCUAUAACUACAACAAAAUAAAAAUCUUUUCAAAAUUUCAAGUAACAAAACAAAAAAAAAGUUGGAAUUAUAAAAAAAUAAACUUAAAUCAAAAUUCUUUUAAUCUCCACCAAAACGAAAGAAAGAAGGAAGAAAAAAUGGCCAAGUUCUCCAAUGAAAAGGACCUGAAUUUUUCACCGAAUUCAGAAAAAUAAAAAUUCUUAAUAAAAAUAUCUAAUCCAAGAGAGGAAAAUUAUUAUCCUACUUCAAUUGUGUUUGUGUGUGCAUUUUUGAAAGUUUUUUAAUUUUUAUUUUUCAAACAAAAUAAGGAAAAACAUUUUCUUUGAUGUUAACUUUCGUUCGGUUUGUGUGUGUGUGUUCGAUUUUAAGUUUCUCUCAAGUUACGAAAAAAGUAAGAAAAAUUACUUCUCGAUAUAUAUAAACCAUAAAUAAUGUGUAUAUAUACUUCAAAAUCCAAAAAAGAAUAACAACAAAAGAGAAAAAAUAUAAAAAUUAAAAAAAAUAUUUAAAAAAAAAGUUGUGAAGAAAAUAUCCCGUCAAGCCAACAAAAAAGAGAAAAGAAAAACAAAAUUCAAAUAUUUUCAUUUAGUUGUGUUUUGUGUACACUUCAAGCCAUUCUCCACACUGCAGCCUCCUCCUCCUCCCUCACCAUGGAACAUCGAGUGGAAAUGUCAAACUGAAGUAAAUCAAAAAUAAUGGAAUAUUGAUUUUUUUUGUUUAUGGUUACCUCCUCGUACUCUCUUCGUGCAGUCGUUUCGUAUUCCUAAGGCCAAAGAUUUCAAAAACAAAAAUAGAAAAAAAAAAAACAAGCGAGCCAACAGACAGUUAAAACCAUUAGAAACCCAUAAAAAACUGUGAACUAGACGAAGAAACAACCAAAAAAAAAAAAAAAAAAGAGAACAGAACAUAAAAACUAAACAAAUAGCCAAAACAGCGAUCCCCACAAAAAAGUCAUGUAAAUUUAUAUUACCUGAGUGCUAAGUGAGAAGAAGCAACAACAACAAUAAUAGCAACACAAAAUAAAUUAAUACAAGCUACCCACACACACAUACACCCCAAACAGCCAGCGAGGAGCAUUGCGUAGAAGCUGUGAAUGAGUGGCUGGUGUUAAUGGCCCACAAAACAAAUCUUCAAAAAAACAGCAGAAGAAAAGAAAAGCAGAACGCCUCCUCAAUUGAAAAUAGUCAUUACAACAAUAGCAACAACACCAACAAAAACAGCAGGAUAGUCCGCCGCAGCGAAGUUCAAUGAAACAGCCGAUAGUACCAUAAAUAACAGCUGAGAGGCGAAAUGGAUUUUCUGGUUUGAGUUGGAAACCCCAAACCUCUUCUCAGAUCAACACAAAAAUCUCGCCUCCAAGGAUCUCCAAGGGAAGUCUUUGGAUUUGCAUUGACUUGAAUUCUAUCGAUGUUUGUAUGGGGCCUUUGUCAAGCCGUGACUGUUGUUCUGUUGCCGAAAUCAAUUAAAAGCUGCUUUGGCAGCAGUCGGCGACAUUAACGACGCCGCCACCGUUGCCUUCUCCUCCGGUGCACGGCAAGAGGUCGUUACGCACAUAAAUCGGCUCAUUAAACAUUGCAGGGUAUAGCGUUACUUUUGCCGCCUAUUUUUGGCCCAGCAUGUGUGGCUUGUAUCGCCAAUCCUGUCAGCAGCAAAAAUAAUAGCAGCCAUCAUCCCCCAGCCAGCUGAAACAAAAACAGGCAUCCCCCCAUCUACACAAUUCACAGCUGAGACCACAUCCGAGCGAGAAGCCAGAAGCCACUACCAAUAAAAUGUUAAAAGAUUUUAUGAUUUAUGUUGUUGUUGUCGUUGUCGCCCCCCUCAGCCACCACAACCACCAACACCGACAUAGCCAUAGCCAUAGCCACCAUUAUCAUCAGCAUCAUCACAAGUUCCAUUACCACCACCACAACCACGACCGCCAUUACCACAAUAGCCACCACCACCUACAAAAGAACCACAACAACAGCCACAAACUUAGGCUCUGUCUUGGCCAAGUUAUCAGUCAUCAGCGAUCAGAACAGCCAGAAUCACAGCAACAAAAGAAAAUUGUCUAAAAAAAACCAAACAAAACCGCUUGUUCCCCCUCAACCACCACCACCAAAUUUGAAAAACAAACGAAUUAUUAGAAAUUCCCGCUUUUUGAGCCACAGACCACCAACACCACAAAGCAAAAUCAAAUCAAAUCAUCAGCCAUAUUAAUGAAAAACGCCAGGAAAAAAGCAAGAAAAAUAAAUCAAGCAAAGCGCAGCAACAACAAAAAACCAAACUGAUAGUCCAAAAAAAAAAAAAAAAAAUAUAA